rnacentral:lncRNA from 1 species
AUGGCUGUGAUAAUAAAGCCAUUGAACAAUUCUUUCAAGACCACCCACAAUUUUGCAAAAAACCCAGUAUUACUAUCAUCACCAGGCAAGAAACUUUCUUAGCCCGAAAACAACAAAUUAUGUCUCAAAUGGCUGCAUGUACAUCAGAAGAAGAAUAUGACCAGUUAAUCAAUGAAUUAAAUGAAGUUAGAAGCUCAGCAGCAUCUCCAUCACCCAUCAGCCUGGAUAACGACAAUGAUGAUUUUUUCACCCAGGCAGAAAUAUAAUUCACCAGACAAAGACAAGUGGCAGACAAGUGGCCGACAAAAACAAAAGCAAUGACGUCAUAAGGCACUACCAGACAAGAGAUAGUGGCAGACAAAGUGAAAAGCAAAAAGAAGAAAAGACAAAAACAGUAACCAAGUGGCAGACAAAGUGAAAAGCAAAAAGAAGAAAAGACAAAACAGUAACCAAUGAUUCACCAGACAAGAGAUAAUGGAGGGACCCACUUACCAAUAAUGCAGCACUAACAGGGGACGGACCGCUCAACCAAAUUCUAUAAAAAUUUGAAGUCCGUGUCUAUAAAAGGAGACUUCUGAACCAUGAAGA